rnacentral:rRNA from 1 species
UGCAUGUCUGAGUGCAUACCGCGCUAAGGUGGAACCGCGAAUGGCUCAUUAAAUCAGUUAUGGUUCCUUGGACGGAUACCCCGUACUUGGACAACUGUGGCAAUUCUAGAGCUAAUACAUGCUUCAACCUCCCGUCUGGAGACGGACGGGAUGCUUUUAUUAGACCAAAACCAAUCGGGCGGUGCCCUGCGCGGUGCUCGUAUCCCCAUGGUGACUCUGAAUAAAGGCGGGCGGAUCGCACGGCCCUCGAGCCGGCGACGCGUCUUUCAAAUGUCUGCCUUAUCAACUGUCGAUGGUAGGUUCUGCGCCUACCAUGGUUGUAACGGGUGACGGGGAAUUAGGGUUCGAUUCCGGAGAGGGAGCCUGAGAAACGGCUACCACAUCCAAGGAAGGCAGCAGGCGCGCAAAUUACCCACUCCCAGCACGGGGAGGUAGUGACGAAAAAUAACGAUACGGGACUCAUCCGAGGCCCCGUAAUCGGAAUGAGAACACUUUAAAUCCUUUAGCGAUUACCAAUUGGAGGGUAAGUCUGGUGCCAGCAGCCGCGGUAAUUCCAGCUCCAAUAGCGUAUAUUAAAGUUGUUGCGGNNNNNNNNNNNNNNNNNNNNNNNNNNNNNNNNNNNNNNNNNNNNCCGCCCGCCGGUGUCCAACUGGCAUGCACGCGCGGACGUCCCGCCGGUGGCCCGAGUCGCUUUCCGGCUGCCGAUCACCGGACUUCCCUGGGGGGAGACCCCCACAGUUCGCGCGGCGGUACCGGGAAUGUCCGAGGAGGGCCUGUCCACCCCUUCGAGGUGCUCUUUGCCGAGUGUCUCGUAGGGCCGGCGCGUUUACUUUGAACAAAUUAGAGUGCUUAAAGCAGGCAGAAUCCGCCUGAAUACCAGUGCAUGGAAUAAUGGAAUAGGACCUCGGUUCUAUUUUGUUGGUUUUCGGAAUCCCCGAGGUAAUGAUCAAUAGGGACAGACGGGGGCAUUCGUAUUGCGACGUUAGAGGUGAAAUUCUUGGAUCGUCGCAAGACGGACCGAAGCGAAAGCAUUUGCCAAGAAUGUUUUCUCUGAUCAAGAACGAAAGUUAGAGGUUCGAAGGCGAUCAGAUACCGCCCUAGUUCUAACCAUAAACGAUGCCAGCCGGAAAUCCGCCGAAGUUCCUCCGAUGACUCGGCGGGCGUCCUCCGGGAAACCAAAGCUUUCGGGUUCCGGGGGAAGUAUGGUUGCAAAGCUGAAACUUAAAGGAAUUGACGGAAGGGCACCACCAGAAGUGGAGCCUGCGGCUUAAUUUGACUCAACACGGGGAAGCCUACCGGGCCCGGACUCUGGAAGGAUUGACAGAUUGAGAGCUCUUUCUUGAUUCAGAGGGUGGUGGUGCAUGGCCGUUCUUAGUCGGUGGACUGAUUUGUCAGGUUAAUUCCGAUAACGGACGAGAUUCUAGCCUGCUAACUAGUCGCUUCCGGCUUCCUUUGUGCAGCCGGCGAGACAUGAUCUUCUUAGAGGGACAGGCGGCGUCCAGCCGCACGAGAUUGAGCAAUAACAGGUCUGUGAUGCCCUUAGAUGUUCCGGGCCGCACGCGCGCUACACUGAAGGGAUCAGCGUGUUUUUUCCUUGGCCGAGCGGCCCGGGUAACCCGCUGAACCCCCUUCGUGCUAGGGAUAGGGGCUUGCAAUUGUUCCCCUUGAACGAGGAAUUCCCAGUAAGCGCGGGUCAUUAGCCCGCGUUGAUUACGUCCCUGCCCUUUGUCCACACCGCCCGUCGCUACUACCGAUUGAAUGAUUUAGUGAGGGCUUCGGACCGGCGGAUCUGGACGCACGUUCACGACCUCGCCGGGAAGAUGUCCGAACUUGAUCAUUUAGAGGAAGUAAAAGUCGUAACAAGGUUGUCGU